ensembl:snRNA U5 U5 spliceosomal RNA
AUACUCUGAUUCUUCUUCAUAUUGUAUGAAUAUUUGGCCUUUUACUAAAGAUUUCCAAAGAGGGAAAUAACUUUCAGUCUUACUUUAAUUGUUUGAGGCCUUGCUUUGACAGGAAU